rnacentral:rRNA from 1 species
AUUGAACGCUGGCGGCAGGCCUAACACAUGCAAGUCGAACGAGUGGCGGACGGGUGAGUAAUGUCUGGGAAACUGCCCGAUGGAGGGGGAUAACUCCUGGAAACGGUAGCUAAUAUCGCAUAUCCUCGCAUGUGCCCCGAUGUGAUUAGCUAGUAGGUGGGGUAAAGGCUCACCAAGGCGACGAGCCCUAGCUGGUCUGAGAGGAUGACCAGCCACACUGGAACUGAGACACGGUCCAGACUCCUACGGGAGGCAGCAGUGGGGAAUAUUGCACAAUGGGCGCAAGCCUGAUGCAGCCACGCCGCGUGUAUGAAGAAGGCCUUCGGGUUGUAAAGUACUUUCAGCGGGGAGGCGUUACUCGCAGAAGAAGCACCGGCUAACUCCGUGCCAGCAGCCGCGGUAAUUC